CCUACGGGAGACAGCAGUGAGGAAUAUUGGUCAAUGGACGAGAGUCUGAACCAGCCAAGUAGCGUGAAGGAUGACUGCCCUAUGGGUUGUAAACUUCUUUUAUAUGGGAAUAAAAUGUUCCACGUGUGGGAUUUUGUAUGUACCAUAUGAAUAAGGAUCGGCUAACUCCGUGCCAGCAGCCGCGGUAAUACGGAGGAUCCGAGCGUUAUCCGGAUUGAUUGGGUUUAAAGGGAGCGUAGGUGGAUUGUUAAGGCAGUUGUGAAAGGUUGCGGCUCAACCGUAAAACUGCAGUUGAAACUGGCAGUCUUGAGUGCAGUAGAGGUAGGCGGAAUUCGUGGUGUAGCGGUGAAAUGCUUAGAUAUCGCGAAGAACUCCGGUUGCGAAGGCGGCUCACUGGACUGCAACUGACACUGAGGCUCGAAAGUGUGGGUAGCAAACAGGAUUAGAUACCCCAGUAGUC
rnacentral:rRNA from 1 species